rnacentral:rRNA from 1 species
GGUUAAGCGACUAAGCGUACACGGUGGAUGCCCUGGCAGUCAGAGGCGAUGAAGGACGUGCUAAUCUGCGAUAAGCGUCGGUAAGGUGAUAUGAACCGUUAUAACCGGCGAUUUCCGAAUGGGGAAACCCAGUGUGUUUCGACACACUAUCAUUAACUGAAUCCAUAGGUUAAUGAGGCGAACCGGGGGAACUGAAACAUCUAAGUACCCCGAGGAAAAGAAAUCAACCGAGAUUCCCCCAGUAGCGGCGAGCGAACGGGGAGGAGCCCAGAGCCUGAAUCAGUGUGUGUGUUAGUGGAAGCGUCUGGAAAGGCGCGCGAUACAGGGUGACAGCCCCGUACACAAAAAUGCACAUGCUGUGAGCUCGAUGAGUAGGGCGGGACACGUGGUAUCCUGUCUGAAUAUGGGGGGACCAUCCUCCAAGGCUAAAUACUCCUGACUGACCGAUAGUGAACCAGUACCGUGAGGGAAAGGCGAAAAGAACCCCGGCGAGGGGAGUGAAAAAGAACCUGAAACCGUGUACGUACAAGCAGUGGGAGCACGCUUAGGCGUGUGACUGCGUACCUUUUGUAUAAUGGGUCAGCGACUUAUAUUCUGUAGCAAGGUUAACCGAAUAGGGGAGCCGAAGGGAAACCGAGUCUUAACUGGGCGUUAAGUUGCAGGGUAUAGACCCGAAACCCGGUGAUCUAGCCAUGGGCAGGUUGAAGGUUGGGUAACACUAACUGGAGGACCGAACCGACUAAUGUUGAAAAAUUAGCGGAUGACUUGUGGCUGGGGGUGAAAGGCCAAUCAAACCGGGAGAUAGCUGGUUCUCCCCGAAAGCUAUUUAGGUAGCGCCUCGUGAAUUCAUCUCCGGGGGUAGAGCACUGUUUCGGCAAGGGGGUCAUCCCGACUUACCAACCCGAUGCAAACUGCGAAUACCGGAGAAUGUUAUCACGGGAGACACACGGCGGGUGCUAACGUCCGUCGUGAAGAGGGAAACAACCCAGACCGCCAGCUAAGGUCCCAAAGUCAUGGUUAAGUGGGAAACGAUGUGGGAAGGCCCAGACAGCCAGGAUGUUGGCUUAGAAGCAGCCAUCAUUUAAAGAAAGCGUAAUAGCUCACUGGUCGAGUCGGCCUGCGCGGAAGAUGUAACGGGGCUAAACCAUGCACCGAAGCUGCGGCAGCGACACUAUGUGUUGUUGGGUAGGGGAGCGUUCUGUAAGCCUGUGAAGGUGUGCUGUGAGGCAUGCUGGAGGUAUCAGAAGUGCGAAUGCUGACAUAAGUAACGAUAAAGCGGGUGAAAAGCCCGCUCGCCGGAAGACCAAGGGUUCCUGUCCAACGUUAAUCGGGGCAGGGUGAGUCGACCCCUAAGGCGAGGCCGAAAGGCGUAGUCGAUGGGAAACAGGUUAAUAUUCCUGUACUUGGUGUUACUGCGAAGGGGGGACGGAGAAGGCUAUGUUGGCCGGGCGACGGUUGUCCCGGUUUAAGCGUGUAGGCUGGUUUUCCAGGCAAAUCCGGAAAAUCAAGGCUGAGGCGUGAUGACGAGGCACUACGGUGCUGAAGCAACAAAUGCCCUGCUUCCAGGAAAAGCCUCUAAGCAUCAGGUAACAUCAAAUCGUACCCCAAACCGACACAGGUGGUCAGGUAGAGAAUACCAAGGCGCUUGAGAGAACUCGGGUGAAGGAACUAGGCAAAAUGGUGCCGUAACUUCGGGAGAAGGCACGCUGAUAUGUAGGUGAAGUCCCUCGCGGAUGGAGCUGAAAUCAGUCGAAGAUACCAGCUGGCUGCAACUGUUUAUUAAAAACACAGCACUGUGCAAACACGAAAGUGGACGUAUACGGUGUGACGCCUGCCCGGUGCCGGAAGGUUAAUUGAUGGGGUUAGCGCAAGCGAAGCUCUUGAUCGAAGCCCCGGUAAACGGCGGCCGUAACUAUAACGGUCCUAAGGUAGCGAAAUUCCUUGUCGGGUAAGUUCCGACCUGCACGAAUGGCGUAAUGAUGGCCAGGCUGUCUCCACCCGAGACUCAGUGAAAUUGAACUCGCUGUGAAGAUGCAGUGUACCCGCGGCAAGACGGAAAGACCCCGUGAACCUUUACUAUAGCUUGACACUGAACAUUGAGCCUUGAUGUGUAGGAUAGGUGGGAGGCUUUGAAGUGUGGACGCCAGUCUGCAUGGAGCCGACCUUGAAAUACCACCCUUUAAUGUUUGAUGUUCUAACGUUGACCCGUAAUCCGGGUUGCGGACAGUGUCUGGUGGGUAGUUUGACUGGGGCGGUCUCCUCCUAAAGAGUAACGGAGGAGCACGAAGGUUGGCUAAUCCUGGUCGGACAUCAGGAGGUUAGUGCAAUGGCAUAAGCCAGCUUGACUGCGAGCGUGACGGCGCGAGCAGGUGCGAAAGCAGGUCAUAGUGAUCCGGUGGUUCUGAAUGGAAGGGCCAUCGCUCAACGGAUAAAAGGUACUCCGGGGAUAACAGGCUGAUACCGCCCAAGAGUUCAUAUCGACGGCGGUGUUUGGCACCUCGAUGUCGGCUCAUCACAUCCUGGGGCUGAAGUAGGUCCCAAGGGUAUGGCUGUUCGCCAUUUAAAGUGGUACGCGAGCUGGGUUUAGAACGUCGUGAGACAGUUCGGUCCCUAUCUGCCGUGGGCGCUGGAGAACUGAGGGGGGCUGCUCCUAGUACGAGAGGACCGGAGUGGACGCAUCACUGGUGUUCGGGUUGUCAUGCCAAUGGCACUGCCCGGUAGCUAAAUGCGGAAGAGAUAAGUGCUGAAAGCAUCUAAGCACGAAACUUGCCCCGAGAUGAGUUCUCCCUGACUCCUUGAGAGUCCUGAAGGAACGUUGAAGACGACGACGUUGAUAGGCCGGGUGUGUAAGCGCAGCGAUGCGUUGAGCUAACCGGUACUAAUGAACCGUGAGGCUUAACCUU